rnacentral:rRNA from 1 species
UACGGGGGGGGCAAGCGUUGUUCGGAAUUAUUGGGCGUAAAGGGCUCGUAGGUGGCCAACUAAGUCAGACGUGAAAUCCCUCAGCUUAACUGGGGAACUGCGUCUGAUACUGGAUGGCUUGAAUCCGGGAGAGGGAUGCAGAAUUCCAGGUGUAGCGGUGAAAUGCGUAGAUAUCUGGAGGAAUACCGGUGGCGAAGGCGGCAUCCUGGACCGGCAUUGACGCUGAGGAGCGAAAGCCAGGGGAGCAAACGGG